AUUGAACGCUGGCGGCAGGCCUAACACAUGCAAGUCGAGCGGAUGACGGGAGCUUGCUCCUUGAUUCAGCGGCGGACGGGUGAGUAAUGCCUAGGAAUCUGCCUGGUAGUGGGGGACAACGUUUCGAAAGGAACGCUAAUACCGCAUACGUCCUACGGGAGAAAGCAGGGGACCUUCGGGCCUUGCGCUAUCAGAUGAGCCUAGGUCGGAUUAGCUAGUUGGCGGGGUAGUGGCUCACCAAGGCGACGAUCCGUAACUGGUCUGAGAGGAUGAUCAGUCACACUGGAACUGAGACACGGUCCAGACUCCUACGGGAGGCAGCAGUGGGGAAUAUCGGACAAUGGGCGAAAGCCUGAUCCAGCCAUGCCGCGUGUGUGAAGAAGGUCUUCGGAUUGUAAAGCACUUUAAGUUGGGAGGAAGGGCAGUAAGUUAAUACCUUGCUGUUUUGACGUUACCGACAGAAUAAGCACCGGCUAACUCUGUGCCAGCCGCCGCGGUAAUAC
rnacentral:rRNA from 1 species